UACAGAGGGUGCAAGCGUUGUUCGGAAUCAUUGGGCGUAAAGGGCGUGUAGGCGGCUUGGCAAGUGGAUGGUGAAAUCCCUCGGCUUAACCGAGGAACUGCCGUCCAAACUGCUUAGCUUGAGACCGGGAGAGGUGAGUGGAAUUCCCAGUGUAGCGGUGAAAUGCGUAGAUAUUGGGAGGAACACCAGUGGCGAAGGCGGCUCACUGGACCGGUACUGACGCUGAUGCGCGAAAGCGUGGGGAGCAAACGGG
rnacentral:rRNA from 1 species